AUGAAGGACGUGAUAAGCUGCGAUAAGUCACGGGGAGGUGCAAAUAACCUUUGAUCCGUGAAUCUCCGAAUGGGACAACCCGAUAUCCUGAAGGGAUAUCACCUUACAUAGUAAGGAGCUAACGCAGGGAACUGAAACAUCUUAGUACCUGCAGGAAAAGAAAAUAACAAUGAUUCCCCCAGUAGUGGCGAGCGAACGGGGAAGAGCCCAAACCAUUCA
rnacentral:rRNA from 1 species